rnacentral:lncRNA from 1 species
CUCGUACUGAUGUUGGCACUCCUAGCAGCAGUUCAGAACAAGGUUCUACAUCUGCAAGCUUCUUUCCACACAGCCUUAGCUAGCUAUAGGAAUAACUAGCAGUGAAAGCCUUUCUGGAGUAUUGCUCGGAGUACUGCUCCCAAACACGGAGCUGAGCUGCAGCCUGUGAGUACUUCAGAGAAUGUGCAUUUGGUACUUUGCUAAACUGCUCGCUGGUAUCAGAGCACAGAUUGUGUUGAACAGCGCAAUAAAUAAACAAAUAAAGCACCCAAACCAGACUCUGGAUAAG